rnacentral:rRNA from 1 species
GGAUAACGGGGAGGAAGGUGGGGAUGACGUCAAGUCCUCAUGGCCUUUAUGUCCAGGGCUACACACGUGCUACAAUGGUCGGUACAAACCGUCGCAAACCCGCGAGGGGGAGCUAAUCGGAAAAAGCCGACCUCAGUUCGGAUUGCCGUCUGCGUCUGAACUCCAUGAAGCUGGAAUCGCUAGUAAUCGCAGAUCAGCACGCUGCGGUGAA